rnacentral:rRNA from 1 species
CCCUUAGAUGUCCUGGGCCGCACGCGCGCUACACUGAUGCAUGCAACGAGUUUAUAACCUUGGCCUGAAAGGUCUGGGUAAUCUUUUGAACGAGCAUCGUGAUAGGGAUAGAUUAUUGCAAUUGUUAAUCUUGAACGAGGAAUUCCUAGUAAACGCGAGUCAUCAGCUCGCAUUGAUUACGUCCCUGCCCUUUGUACACACCGCCCGUCGCACCUACCGAUUGAAUGGUUCGGUGAAGAUCUCGGACUUCGAUAUUUAUUCUUUAUUGAGUUUAUAUUGUGGGAAGUUAUCUAAACCUCAUCAUUUAGAGGAAGGUGAAGUCGGAACA